GAAAAGAGGCACCCCCCCAUGAAGCUUUCUUCUCCUCCAGCCAGCAACCCGAUGCUUUACAAAACCCACGCAGGCUGGACUUCCACUGGAAAAUCGCUCUAGUCUCGACGCCAAUCUACCACACCGACGCCUCAGCCACCAAGCCCAGUCUACCAGUGACUGAACCAUGUUGAGAAUACUCCAAAUGACUACACGACUCGCCGGGGAAGAGCUGGACUUCGGCGAUCAAUAUUUCAGUUCGAUCACCGGAAACCACUGGUUUUCAGAUCUUAGGGCCGACCUUUUCCACCAUUAGUGGACUUCUUCAGCUCGAAUCAAAGCUUGGAUUGGCUCGAAAUUUGUUCGUUUGCAAAGUACGAAGGAACCCACUUUGACAGCAACUUUCAGGCGAAGUUUACGGUCACCGGGGGCCAUCGUUGAGCAAAGUUUUACCAACUCCAACCCAUUUGGCCAUAGUCAUGGUAUAUGCAUUUGUCCGCUGUUCACUUUUCCGGGGUGGUAGUUGGUGUAUUACACAGUCAUGACUUGUUUCUCUUUCUUAUUCUACAGGAGGGUGGACUGACCUACACAAUAAAAAUUGGCAACUUGAUGAAGGAUGCAGUCACUGAUUUGGGUACUGACAAGUUUGGAUUGUCAGAUGAGCAUGCUUUAUCUCUUCUGGCUGCCAAGAAGAGCAAAGCUGGACCAAGUUAUGGACAAGCUCAUGCUGCAGCUGUACACAUGCAGAAAAAGUAUCGUGGUUGGAAAAAGAGAAAAGAAUUCCUAAUCAAAGACAAAAUUUGGAAGUAGUGGUUGGGAAGCUGGGGGAAUUGAAAAAGAGGUUGGAAUGCUUGGAUCCUUGGAGAAUAUGUUAAUGAACUGCAUUGGAAGUUGGAGAUUGUAAAGAUUUAGUGGAUAUAAGCAACCAUCUUGUAUAUAUGUUUAUUUUUUUUUCCUAGAAUUACAAACAAGCUGUUUUUGUUUAUAUUUUUCUUUUAUUAUAAUCUUAUUGUAUCUGAUACACGUUAUAUGGUAUUAGUUGCUGUGUAAUGAAUUUUGUAGUACAAGAUAACUGUUUAAUAAAGUAUUAUUCUUUUAUGUUAA